UCAUGAUCUGAGCUGGAGUCAGACACUUAACCGACUGAGCCACCCAGGUGCCCCACAACUUUAAUUUUAAUAGCCCAAAACUGAAAACAACCCAUAUAUCCAUCAACAUAGAAACCAAUAAACAAACUGUAAUAUGUCCAUACAGUGAAGUUCUGAAAUAUGGAACUAAUUUUUGAUGAAAGAAAUCAGGUGUGGAUGUGGAUGUGUGUUGACCAACAAGAAGUAUAAGGAAACUUUUAGAGAUGAUUGGAAACAUGGUGUAUCUCGAUAGCCAUGGGUAACAUGCAUUUAUACAUAUCAAAAUUCAUCACAAUGUGA